rnacentral:rRNA from 1 species
UACGAAGGGGGCUAGCGUUGUUCGGAAUCACUGGGCGUAAAGCGCACGUAGGCGGACUUUCAAGUAAGGGGUGAAAUCCCGGGGCUCAACCUCGGAAUUGCCUUUGAUACUGUAGGUCUCGAGUCCGGAAGAGGUGGGUGGAAUUCCUAGUGUAGAGGUGAAAUUCGUAGAUAUUAGGAAGAACACCGGUGGCGAAGGCGGCCCACUGGUCCGGUACUGACGCUGAGGUGCGAAAGCGUGGGGAGCAAACAGG